rnacentral:rRNA from 1 species
CACGGGGGGAGCAAGCGUUGUUCGGAAUUACUGGGCGUAAAGGGCGCGUAGGCGGCCUGCUAAGUCGGAUGUGAAAUCCCUCGGCUCAACCGAGGAACUGCAUCCGAUACUGGCGGGCUUGAAUCCGGGAGAGGGAUGUGGAAUUCAUGGUGUAGCAGUGAAAUGCGUAGAGAUCAUGAGGAAGACCAGUGGCGAAGGCGGGUCUCUGGACAGUUCCUGACACUGAGACACGAAGGCCAGGGGAGCAAACGGG